GAUGAACGCUGGCGGCGUGCCUAAUACAUGCAAGUCGAGCGAACAGACGAGGAGCUUGCUCCUCUGACGUUAGCGGCGGACGGGUGAGUAACACGUGGAUAACCUACCUAUAAGACUGGGAUAACUUCGGGAAACCGGAGCUAAUACCGGAUAAUAUAUUGAACCGCAUGGUUCAAUAGUGAAAGACGGUUUUGCUGUCACUUAUAGAUGGAUCCGCGCCGCAUUAGCUAGUUGGUAAGGUAACGGCUUACCAAGGCGACGAUGCGUAGCCGACCUGAGAGGGGGAUCGGCCACACUGGAACUGAGACACGGUCCAGACUCCUACGGGAGGCAGCAGUAGGGAAUCUUCCGCAAUGGGCGAAAGCCGGACGGAGCAACGCCGCGGGAGUGAUGAAGGUCUUCGGAUCGUAAAACUCUGUUAUUAGGGAAGAACAAAUGUGUAAGUAACUAUGCACGUCUUGACGGUACCUAAUCAGAAAGCCACGGCUAACUACGUG
rnacentral:rRNA from 1 species